rnacentral:rRNA from 1 species
AACGAACGCUGGCGGCGUGCCUAAUACAUGCAAGUCGAACGCAGUGGGGACGGGUGAGUAACACGUGGGUAACCUCCCAUCAGAGGGGAUAACACUUGGAAACAGGUGCUAAACCGAUACUGGUGGAUGGACCCGCGGUGCAUUAGCUAGUUGGUGAGGUAACGGCUCACCAAGGCCACGAUGCAUAGCUGACCUGAGAGGAUGAUCAGCCACACUGGGACUGAGACACGGCCCAGACUCCUACGGGAGGCAGCAGUAGGGAAUCUUGGACAAUGGACGAAAGUCUGACCGAGCCAUGCCGCGUGAGUGAAGAAGGUCUUCGGGUCGUAAAAUACUGUUGUCGGAGAGGCGGUAUCUACCCAGAAAGCCACGGCUAACUCCGUGCCAGCAGCCGCGGUAAUUC